rnacentral:rRNA from 1 species
CCUACGGGAGGCAGCAGUGGGGAAUAUUGCACAAUGGGCGAAAGCCUGAUGCAGCAACGCCGCGUGAGCGAUGAAGGCCUUCGGGUCGUAAAGCUCUGUCCUCAAGGAAGAUAAUGACGGUACUUGAGGAGGAAGCCCCGGCUAACUACGUGCCAGCAGCCGCGGAAAUACGUCGGGGGCUAGGGUUAUCCGGAAUUACUGGGCGUAAGGGGUGCGUAGGUGGUUUCUUAAGUCAGAGGUGAAAGGCUACGGCUCAACCGUAGUAAGCAGUUGAAACUGGGGAACUUGAGUGCAGGAGAGGAGAGUGGAAUUCGUGGUGUAGCGGUGAAAUGCGUAGAUAUUAGGAAGAACACCAGUUGCGAAGGCGGCUCUCUGGACUGUAACUGACACUGAGGCACGAAAGCGUGGGGAGCAAACAGGAUUAGAUACCCUUGUAGUC